UCUCUAAAGAUAGCUCAGUCAGUAGAGCAUGAGACUCUUAAAAUUAAGGUAGUGGGUUCGAGAUCCACAUUAGUGAA